UUAUAUUUAGGACAUUCACCAGAGAAGAAAUACUGCGAGAGGUGUUUUUUUUUUCUUUAUAGACGUACGCUUGUUUGUGUCUAAUUUAAUUUUUGUUUGUCUGAUUUGAUUGGGUGGUUCUUAAUAUUACUACUUUUUCUUAUAUUUAGGGCAUUCACCAGAAAAGAAAUACUGCGAGAGGUGAGUUUUUUAUGUAUAGUCGUACUCUUGUUUGUGUCUGAUCUACUUCUAGGAAAAAACACAUCGUUAACCAAGUCUUUCUGAAAAUAUAACUGACGUACUAAGAAAAGGCCUCGUUACUUCCACACAAACUGGCCUUUACGUAUGAUCAUUAAGAUCGUAUUGUAUUGUGUUGACCCUAUUUCUGUAAUGAGCGGGAAAACUCUCACGGGAACGUGUCUAAUCGUUAAUAAUGGCAAAGAGAGCCUAAGUAGUUGGAAAAUGAGUACCGAAGCGGAGGUUGAGACGUAAUAUGGGGAGGCGGUGGCUGAGUGGUUAGCGUGCGGACCCCGCAUUCACCGCGUUCUGAGCGACACGGGUUCAAAUCCGCACGCCACCAUCUGGGAUUUUUCAGUCACCGCCGAGUGGCCUAAGAUUACCCACAUGUUGUCCUGAAGACCACCCAUCAACCCGGACUCUAGAGGAGACCGUCCAAGUGAAUCAAGAAUGAGCUCCGGGGGACAUCAUGAGCCAAGAAUAGAUGGCGCCACAAUAAACACUUGCCUGCGCCAUGAUGGGCUUGGGCCGACCACCAGGCCCCUGAAGAAAUCCUACUGGCGUUGUAGGCUAACACGUAAUAAAAAAAAAAAAUAAUAAAUAAAAAAAAAAAUAAAAAAAAACGUUUGAAGUCGUCGCUGGAAGUUGUAAAAGUGAAUCAGACAAAGGGUCAGUUCGACAGUCCAUCACAGAGUUAUUGUAAUCGCCAAGCCAAACCCUGUUCUCCACAAUGAUCCGUUAUUUCUACUCAAUGCCAGAUACGACAGAGAUUUCCCGUGUGGCUUCCUAAAGAGGCUAUUACACUGGGCAAAUUUUCCGUGGAUUUUCAGUCAAACCACGAUUUCCGCUAGCGUGGUUCUCAUUUGUUUCUUGUUAUUGCUGCUGCUGAUGAUGGUGAGUAAUACCGCCGUCCUUCGGUGAAAUCUACUGUAGCUUUGGAAGAUCGUGGACACGUCAGAAAACCACGGAAAUAUAAGAACCACGCCAGCGAAAAUCGUGGUUUGAUUGAAGAUCCACGGAAAAUUUGCCCAGUGUAAUAGCCCCUUUAAAUUUCCUCCUUUUUAUGCCCACGCCACACACCAGACAAGGAAUUUUCGUCGCCUUUUGUGUUUGGUUGUGAAGCUUACAAAUUUGCUGUAUUGGAUUAUGAAACCGGCCCAAAGUUGAGUGUCACUUCUCUCUGGUAAGAAAUCGCAGACGUCUCAUGGAAGUGGACGAGUUUAAUAAGGCUGGGAUUACAAGACACUUACCCUUCUCACAUCAGCUAUUUCUAAAGGUCAAAGGGGGAUAUCAAUCAGAUUCUGAGUGUUUUUAGGCUCAGGGUACAGAAGAAGGGUCAAACUACCACCAGGGUCAUUAAACUACUACUGGAAAUGCCCACAACUCCUGCGAAAGCCUUGUCAAAUAUGUGUUUCUAUAGGUUCACGGUAGAGAGGAAGGGUCAAACUACCACCAGGGUCAUAAAACUACUACUGGAAAUGCCCACAACUCCUGCGAAAGCCUUGUCCAAUAGGUGCUCUUGGGCGGCGAAAUGUCUUAUAAUCCGACCCUUAGUAAGAGUGUAUUCAAAUUUACGUAGUUUGGACGCAUUUCAAAAGGUGCCUAUCCGUGUUUUGUUAUUCGUAAUUCUGUAAGCAUUAAAAAAAGAAGCAUCGUUUUUGUAUUACACGGUUUAAAGGGAGGAGCUUAGUAGUACCGGGUGCGGCGUCCUUUUCGAAAAACAAAGAUAUCAGGACGUCGUUAUAAUAAAACAUCAUAAAUCUAGUACUGGUUUUCCUGGGCGUUUUCCCGUUCAUGGCGCAGAAAUCUUCCUAAUCUAUCGCCAGGGUCAUGAAACCACCCAUGGAAAGCUCUAAUACUUUUACGAGAGAGCCUUUUUAAAUAAGAGCAGGCUACCAAGGUGUCGAAAGAAUAUGGGCUCCGGCGGUGUUCUUUCUCCGAGUGUUUUCCCGUUCAUGGCGCAAAAAUCUUCCUUAUCUAUCGCCAGGGUCAUAAAACCAUCCAUGGAAAGCUGUAAUACUUUUACGAGAGCUUUUUUAAGUCGAAGUAGGCUGCCAAGGUGUCGAAACGUUUGGGAAUAUGGGCUCAGGCGGUGUUGUUUCUACGAACUCUUUCAACGUUUUGGAGGAAGGGACGCAAGACUGGCAUUCUCCUCUCCUGGUGAGCUCUGAACAUGAUGGCUUAUUGCUUGGACUUCAAUACGUGUGCAGCCAGUCAGUCAGCCAGCCUUCUACUCUACUCUUAAACGUAUAUCUCCAUUAUCGUACCUUUUCACGGGCAACGCUAUAGAUGUACACCCACAUUCAGUCAAUGCAGUCGUGCUUAAAACUACACACACACACACACACACACACGCACAGACGAGGGAAGGGCGGGGUAUAGUUGAGAAUAGGGCACCGUUACUAGAUUCUCGUACUCACCACACUGCAUUUUCCGGUUUCCUACCCCAAACUAUAACUAAAAAAACAUCACUAGUUAACAGUUUGCACAAUAGUUAAAUGAAUAUCGUUAUUUAUAUAGGUAUGACACUUUUGAGGCUGAAACCAAUAGAUGCAAUGUUCUGAGUACGAGGAUCUGGUAACACUGGCGUCGGGCAAGGCGGGGUCAUGCAGGACAGCUGACGCGCCUCUCCCAAGGUCACCGCCCUUCCCUCGCUGCAACCACAUCUUUGAACGUAUGUCUCUCUUUAAAACUAUGUUCUAAGGCCACAGAGAAGCUUAACCGGGUUUUCAAAGGUGAUUCUUACGUCAAAGGUGCAAAAGUCAUGUACAACUAUCACUGGGAUCACUAAACGGUCCAUGAAAACCCAUCAACUUCAACGAGAGGCUUCAAAGAGGCGAACUGAGGCGCCGAAAAUUCUGUUUAUAAAGACCACAGAGAAGAUUAACCGGGUUUUUAAGGGUGACUCUCCCGUUCGAGCUGUCACCAGGAUCAUAAAACAGUCCUUAUAAAGCCUAGCAACUUCAACGAGAGACUUCAAACAGGCGAACUGAGGAGUGGGUACGUUUAAGAAUACGGGUUAUGUCAUAC